rnacentral:rRNA from 1 species
GGUUAAGCGACUAAGCGUACACGGUGGAUGCCCUGGCAGUCAGAGGCGAUGAAGGGCGUGCUAAUCUGCGAUAAGCGCCGGUAAGGUGAUAUGAACCGUUAUAACCGGCGAUACCCGAAUGGGGAAACCCAGUGUGAUUCGUCACACUAUCAUUAACUGAAUCCAUAGGUUAAUGAGGCGAACCGGGGGAACUGAAACAUCUAAGUACCCCGAGGAAAAGAAAUCAACCGAGAUUCCCCCAGUAGCGGCGAGCGAACGGGGAGGAGCCCAGAGCCUGAAUCAGCAUGUGUGUUAGUGGAAGCGUCUGGAAAGGCGCGCGAUACAGGGUGACAGCCCCGUACACAAAAGCGUAUGUGCUGUGAGCUCGAUGAGUAGGGCGGGACACGUGGUAUCCUGUCUGAAUAUGGGGGGACCAUCCUCCAAGGCUAAAUACUCCUGACUGACCGAUAGUGAACCAGUACCGUGAGGGAAAGGCGAAAAGAACCCCGGCGAGGGGAGUGAAAAAGAACCUGAAACCGUGUACGUACAAGCAGUGGGAGCACCCUUUGGGGUGUGACUGCGUACCUUUUGUAUAAUGGGUCAGCGACUUAUAUUCUGUAGCAAGGUUAACCGAAUAGGGGAGCCGGAGGGAAACCGAGUCUUAAUUGGGCGUUAAGUUGCAGGGUAUAGACCCGAAACCCGGUGAUCUAGCCAUGGGCAGGUUGAAGGUUGGGUAACACUAACUGGAGGACCGAACCGACUAAUGUUGAAAAAUUAGCGGAUGACCUGUGGCUGGGGGUGAAAGGCCAAUCAAACCGGGAGAUAGCUGGUUCUCCCCGAAAGCUAUUUAGGUAGCGCCUCGUGAAUUCAUCUCCGGGGGUAGAGCACUGUUUCGGCUAGGGGGUCAUCCCGACUUACCAACCCGAUGCAAACUGCGAAUACCGGAGAAUGUUAUCACGGGAGACACACGGCGGGUGCUAACGUCCGUCGUGAAGAGGGAAACAACCCAGACCGCCAGCUAAGGUCCCAAAGUCAUGGUUAAGUGGGAAACGAUGUGGGAAGGCACAGACAGCCAGGAUGUUGGCUUAGAAGCAGCCAUCAUUUAAAGAAAGCGUAAUAGCUCACUGGUCGAGUCGGCCUGCGCGGAAGAUGUAACGGGGCUAAACCAUGCACCGAAGCUGCGGCAGCGACACUCAGGUGUUGUUGGGUAGGGGAGCGUUCUGUAAGCCUGUGAAGGUGGCCUGUGAGGGUUGCUGGAGGUAUCAGAAGUGCGAAUGCUGACAUAAGUAACGAUAAAGCGGGUGAAAAGCCCGCUCGCCGGAAGACCAAGGGUUCCUGUCCAACGUUAAUCGGGGCAGGGUGAGUCGACCCCUAAGGCGAGGCCGAAAGGCGUAGUCGAUGGGAAACGGGUUAAUAUUCCCGUACUUGGUGUUACUGCGAAGGGGGGACGGAGAAGGCUAUGUUGGCCGGGCGACGGUUGUCCCGGUUUAAGCGUGUAGGUGUGUGUUCCAGGUAAAUCCGGUUCACUUUAACACUGAGGCGUGA